AUGUAUGCCUCCCCAUCCCCCACCAAGAUCUGUUCUUUAUCUUUCUCUUCCCUUUGUGUGCCCCGGAAGGCUGACAUCUGUGGAUUACAUCACCUGGGGAAUCUUGCCUUCGAAUUUCCUAUGGAUUCAACCAAUGGGAAGUACCAGCAGGAGCAAAGGAAAGGACUGGGAGCCAUCUGUGAUGACCGGAUGAGAUGCUGUAUGUGCAGUGUAUGCACAGUGCUGGCCACAGGAAGUGCUCAGAGAACAUGAACGACCUUUACAGUUAUGAUCUUGUUCUGUCACUUGGCUGUGACUGCCCUGCUUCAUUUGAUGGAGGCCCAAUAAAUAUUGUCGAAUGAAUGAAAACA
rnacentral:lncRNA from 1 species